AUUGAACGCUGGCGGCAGGCUUAACACAUGCAAGUCGAACUAGUGGCGGACGGGUUAGUAAUGCUUGGGAAUCUAGCUUAUGGAGGGGGAUACCUACGGGAAACUGUAGCUAAUACCGCGUACCAUAGGAUGAGCCCAAUUGGGAUUAGGUAGUUGGUGAGGUAAAGGGUCACCAGGCCGACGAUCUCUAGCUGGUCUGAGAGGAUGACCAGACACACUGGGACGGAGACACGGCCCAGACUCAUACGGGAGGCAGCAGAGGGGAAUAUUGCGCAAGGGGGGCAACCGGAUGCAGCCAUGCCGCGUGAAGGAAGAAGGCCUUCGGGUUGUAAAGUUCUUUAGGUAGCGAGGCGUUAACUACAGAAGAAGCACCGGCUAACUCCGUGCCAGAAGCCGCGGUAAUAC
rnacentral:rRNA from 1 species